rnacentral:rRNA from 1 species
GACGAACGCUGGCGGCGUGCUUAACACAUGCAAGUCGAACGGAAAGGCCCUGCUUUUGUGGGGUGCUCGAGUGGCGAACGGGUGAGUAACACGUGAGUAACCUGCCCUUGACUUUGGGAUAACUUCAGGAAACUGGGGCUAAUACCGGAUAGGAGCUCCUGCUGCAUGGUGGGGGUUGGAAAGUUUCGGCGGUUGGGGAUGGACUCGCGGCUUAUCAGCUUGUUGGUGGGGUAGUGGCUUACCAAGGCUUUGACGGGUAGCCGGCCUGAGAGGGUGACCGGCCACAUUGGGACUGAGAUACGGCCCAGACUCCUACGGGAGGCAGCAGUGGGGAAUAUUGCACAAUGGGCGGAAGCCUGAUGCAGCAACGCCGCGUGCGGGAUGACGGCCUUCGGGUUGUAAACCGCUUCCGCCUGUGACGAAGCGUGAGAGACGGUAAUGGGUAAAGAAGCACCGGCUAACUACGUG